UCCUUGGUGGUCCAGUGGUUAGGACUCGUCACUUUUGCUGCCGGGGCCCAGGUUCAAUCCCUGGUUGGGGAA